UACGAAGGGGGCUAGCGUUGUUCGGAAUUACUGGGCGUAAAGCGUGCGCAGGCGGCUGCUCAAGUCAGGGGUGAAAGCCCAGAGCUCAACUCUGGAAUUGCCUUUGAGACUGAGUGGCUUGAGUACGAGAGAGGUGAGUGGAAUUCCCAGUGUAGAGGUGAAAUUCGUAGAUAUUGGGAAGAACACCGGUGGCGAAGGCGGCUCACUGGCUCGUAACUGACGCUCAUGCACGACAGCGUGGGGAUCAAACAGG
rnacentral:rRNA from 1 species